rnacentral:lncRNA from 1 species
ACGUUUCUAGAACGUCUAGAUGUGGUUCUAAAAUUUCUAGUCUUUCUAUAGCUCUGAAAUUUCGUGUGGCUGAUUUCAUAGGAAGUGUUCAUGGGACUUUUGUGUUGAUGCUGCAUGCUGCAUAUUUAAAUGGGCUAACUUGUCAGUCGAUCCAACGUGUUUCGCCCAGGUAAAUUUAGACUUGACUAUGCGGGUGGUUUUUCAUGGGUGUUGAAAAGCUCCUUAAAAGCUCCCUAGUUGUUGGGCGUAGUGACGCAUACCUGUAAUGUACUCAAGAGAACAGGGCAGGAGAAUUGCUGUGACUUCGGGGCCAGUCGGGUAACAUCAAGAUUACCACAAAAUAUUAUUGUACUAACAGUUAAGUCUCACUACGAAUUACGUAGAUUUCUUUUUGAGACAGCUGGAGGCUGUUUUUGAGAGGCACCUCCUGUCUCCACUUCCCUAGAGCUGAAUUACCUACAGCCUUGUGCCACCACACCCAGCCCAGUUAUCUUCAUAACUUUUGAACAUUAGUAUUUUAGGAAUCUAGAAGGGAGGAGUAUAUUACUGCAAAAAAAACCCCAACGUUGCCUUUGUACUUAAAUGUUUUUACAAACUCAAAUGUCUCCGAAGUACUAGAGAAGAUUAAUCUGGUUGGUUAUAUAAUCUUAAAAGGAUAGCUUUUACCCAACAGGUUUUGCAUUGAAGUUCUUCUAAAUUUUUAUUUCUAGGCCCUUCACAAGUAUUUAGUUCAUACUUCCUACCCAUAGAAGUAGCUUUCCCUUCAUCGUUUAUAUACAGCUUUUAUAUAGCAUUCUAAACAUGAACUGAUUUGAAACUUAACUUUUUACCUGAUGCUUUUAAACUAAGUAAUAGUACAAGGCGGUAAGUGAAAAUUUAAAAGCAGGAAUGCAGUGCUAAUAUAUUUUACAAAAUUGUAGAAGUAUCAUGGUUCACAUAAUAGAAGAGAGUAUUAAGUCUUUUUUUUUUUUUUUUUUUUUUUUGAGACAGGUUUUCUCUAGAACUUGAUAUGUAGACCAGGCUGGCUUCGAACUCACGAGAUCCACCUGCUGCUGCCUCCUGAGCACUGAAGUUAAAGAUAUUCACUACCAUUCCCAGCCUGAUAAUUUAAGUCUUAAUUUUAUAAUGACAAUGCUACCAGUAUGGUCCUGAAUAAGUAGUCCAAAAAUGGAAAGGUUGCACUUCCAUUAGGAAUGUAUUCUCUAACAGUCAGAUUGUGUUUGGUAAACAUUAAUAAUGGUGGUUCUUAAGCAUGAUAUUUUAAUUGAUGGAGUUGAGUGGUUUCACUUAAUAUUCAGUUAUGAACAAAAGGCUCAUUCAGGGCUUGUUGAUAGACACAUAAAAUUGGAGUCUGAAAACUUCAGUUUUGGAGGGGGGAUUUGCCUUAUUUGGAAAUGGAAAUCUGUACAGCUACUUUUAAGAGGAGGAUAAUAUUAGGAAGCAAUUAUGCUUACAUCAUUACAUGGAAAGGAAAUCAGUAUUACUGAUGUCGACUUUGAUUUAUUGAAGAAAUGUGUUUUUAAAAAAAAUGCACCCAAAAAUCUUGUCUCUGAAGACAACACACUAGAGUUGAUUUCUUGCCUGGUAAUUUUUUGAAAUUUGAAAAUUAACAUUUACUAUUUGGGGUUUUUGUGUGUGUGUGUGUGUGUGUGUGUGUGUGGGUGUGUGUGUGUGUGUGUUGGAUCAUGGUCUUGGCACUGUAACCAGGCUGGCCUCCAGCUUUUCCAGCUUCUGUCUCCCAAGUGCUACGACAGCAGGUAAUAUGCCACUAAACAAGCCUGCAUUUAUUUGCUUUUUUAAUGUGGAAAAAUUCGUGUGUAGGAUACAUGAUAGAAGCCCUUAUCAGGUCAGUCUCAUGGUUUUUAGUAUCUCAUACGUCUUUUUUUGUUUUGUUUCUGGCCUCGAACUCAGAAAUCCCGCCUGCUUCUGUCUCCCGAUUGCUGGGAUUAAAGGCAUGCGCUACCAUGCCCAGCUGGUCAUACAUCUUUAAGAGUUAAGAUAGAUGCAGACUAGCUUCUAACAAAUUCUGAAAAGUGGAAUCUUAACAAACGACAAAAAUCUAGUACUUGUGUUAAUAAGAUCAGGUAUCAGAUAAUGGUUUGUUAGGUGUCCUUAGUAUAUCUGAACAGAAUAUGUUCUCUUAGUUCUAAAAUUCCUUUUUGUUUUAUUUUUUAAACUGGGUUCCAUUGUGUAGAUCAGGCUGACCUCAGUCUUAGACUCCUGUUGCUGCUGCCUCCCCAACACUGGGAUUAAAGGCAUGCAACACCACACCCAGUUCUUCUGAAAU